ACCAAGUCUGGGAGUCACAACUGAACCUCCAGAGCCUCCUACGGCUGCCGCCAUUAUUCCGUGGAGUGGCCACACUGCCUCGCCUGUCUCUGACACACCUCGUGACUCUGGCGCCAGCCAGACUGCAUCCCUGAGGCAGCCGGGAAUCUGCGGAGACCAGGGCAUAAAGACGAGCCAGGGAUCUGCAGCGACUGCACCGAGCAACAGCAGCUGUCAGCACGCGGCCACCAGCGGGAAGAUGCUGCUUCCGGGAUCUGUCUUAACCUCAGGCUGAGGCUCCUUUGCCUCUUUGUCACCACCAUUGUUGUCCUGGAUCAGUUCACAGUUUUCCAGAGCACCCAAAGACACUUCCCAUGUGGACCAGGAGGCUGAUACUUCUUUCUCCUCAAUCUCCCUUCGGCUUCAACUCUUUCCAUGUACAGAAGGGCUCAUCUUGAACAUGGAUUCUGGGGAUCUGAACUCUGGUGCUUGAUCAUGAGCAGGUGGCACUUCAUCUCCACAGCACUGAAUCUUAUUUAAUGGUGCUGGUGAUCCGGAACCCAAAGUCUGACCCUCAAAUCUCUGCCUAGGGUCUUUCUUUGUGUCUGAACACCCCUCCCAAGCCCACUGCUAUUUUCCCUUGGAGCUUUCUACCUUGAAGUGGCUUGUAGGAACCGGGCCUCUGAUGAGAUUAGUCUUUGGUCCCUGGAAUGCCCUCUCUUGGCCGCCUCUUGCAGAGACACAAGAUAUCAAACUUGUGACAAGCCCCACCGCCCCCUCCUUCCCAACCCUGGGCUGGAACCCCCUUGGGAGAGUCCCUGAACAUCAGCUGCCUGCACUCCUCUGCGCCUGAUCUUCCCAGAGCAAAGAAGCACCUACCCCCACCCCCCACCCCACCAUCCAAUUAAUGCAAUUAGAAGCAGUCAGGUUGUGGGAUCUGUGAGCACGCCUCACCAGCUGGCCCGAAGGAGUCAUGUGACUGGGCCCUUUCACCAGGGCUCAGCACAGGGCAGUCAUGGAUGCGCACACAUAUUCAGGUCUGCACGUGUAUGUAAGUUCCCCCACACCUAUGCCCCCACAUAUAUGAAUGUACAAACAUCCAUGGACACACAUGUCUAUAUAUGCACAUGCUCUACAUGUCCUACAUGUAUGAGCUCAUGUGCACACGCACACACACACACACACACACUCCCCAGCUUCAGCUCUUCUAUUAAGAGCUGUGUGGCCCUGUGUGCCUCAGUUUCCCACCUGUCACAGCAUGGAGGCUGCUGCUCUUCUCUGCCAGCCUCCCUGCUUCAUUUACCCUGAGCCUAACUGGCUGAAGAGGAGGAGGUUGACAGAGCAUCCAGGAAGAGAGGGAGGGUCCACCUGUGGGCAAACAGCUCACCACCAGCCAUGUCUGGGCCCAGAGCUGAGGGCAGCCAGGCAACAGCUGCCUUGCUGUCCAAGCGCAUGCCCAUGAACCACUGUUCACACUGAGAGCAUUGUCAUCAGCUUCCAGAGGUGGCUGUAUCCUCCAGUGUCGCUCUGCCCCAGGCCCUUGUCUGCAUGGCCCAAGCAGCCCAGGCACCAUCUGGUCUUCAAUUUCCCUCUGAGAACAAGGUUGGGCAAAGCCUGGCUCAGGUAGCAAGAGGAGGCGUGUCUGGAGCCAGGAGGCAAAGAUGCCUAAGUAUUCCUGGAGUUUGUCCAUCUGGGGCUGGGACCUGGGGUCACUGUAAGAACCAGGUAGCCAUAGGUUGGGAGGGGUCUUGAGUCACCAGAUGGAAACACAACCUUCAGGGAGGGCCGAGAGCCAAGAGAGCCGGACAGUCUGUCCCUGUGAGCCACAAGAGGCCUGGUAAGCCACUUCCUGUUCAGGUCUAGUUUUGUAUACUCAAGGAGGGCUCAGGUUUGUAUACUCAGGAGGCUGAUAUGGUGCAAUGGAGGGUCUUGAACUGUGGGCAGGGAAGCUGAGGAGGUAAUUGUGGAGGCAGGCCUGGUUUUGAAUCCCAACCACUAGCCCUGUUGCAACCUCCUUCUCCUUCC